AACGAACGCUGGCGGCAGGCUUAACACAUGCAAGUCGAACGCCCCGCAAGGGGAGUGGCAGACGGGUGAGUAACGCGUGGGAACGUCCCUUUCAGUUCUGGGUAACGCAGGGAAACUUGUGCUAAUACCGGAUACGCCCGCAUGAGGAAAGAUUUAUCGCUGAAAGAUCGGCCCGCGUUGGAUUAGCUAGUUGGUGGGGUAAUGGCCUACCAAGGCGACGAUCCAUAGCUGGUCUGGGAGGACGAUCAGCCACACUGGGACUGCGACACGGCCCAGACUCCUACGGGAGGCAGCAGUGGGGAAUAUUGGACAAUGGGCGAAAGCCUGAUCCAGCCAUGCCGCGUGAGUGAUGAAGGCCUUAGGGUUGUAAAGCUCUUUCACCGAUGAAGAUAAUGACGGUAGUCGGAGAAGAAGCCCCGGCUAACUUCGUGCCAGCAGCCGCGGUAA
rnacentral:rRNA from 1 species